rnacentral:rRNA from 1 species
AGUGGGGAAUAUUGGACAAUGGGCGAAAGCCUGAUCCAGCAAUGCCGCGUGAGUGAUGAAGGCCUUAGGGUUGUAAAGCUCUUUUACCCGGGAUGAUAAUGACAGUACCGGGAGAAUAAGCUCCGGCUAACUCCGUGCCAGCAGCCGCGGUAAUACGGAGGGAGCUAGCGUUGUUCGGAAUUACUGGGCGUAAAGCGCGCGUAGGCGGCUUUUCAAGUCAGGGGUGAAAUCCCGGGGCUCAACCCCGGAACUGCCCUUGAAACUGGAUGGCUAGAAUCCUGGAGAGGCGAGUGGAAUUCCGAGUGUAGAGGUGAAAUUCGUAGAUAUUCGGAAGAACACCAGUGGCGAAGGCGACUCGCUGGACAGGUAUUGACGCUGAGGUGCGAAAGCGUGGGGAGCAAA